AUUUUAUUAAAUAAGAUAGGCUGUAAAGCCUUGAAAUUAAGCACUUUGGGGCGUUUUCCCCUAGUGCUUUUUGAUUUCU
rnacentral:sRNA from 20 species